rnacentral:tRNA from 1 species
UCCCUGUAGGCUCAGAUGGUAAAGAAUCUGCCUGCAAUGCAGGAGACCCAGGUUCAAUCCCUGGGUCAGGAA